UACGUAGGGUGCAAGCGUUGUCCGGAAUUAUUGGGCGUAAAGAGCUCGUAGGCGGCUUGUCGCGUCGGAUGUGAAAGCCCGGGGCUUAACUCCGGGUCUGCAUUCGAUACGGGCAGGCUAGAGUUCGGUAGGGGAGAUCGGAAUUCCUGGUGUAGCGGUGAAAUGCGCAGAUAUCAGGAGGAACACCGGUGGCGAAGGCGGAUCUCUGGGCCGAUACUGACACUGAGGCGCGACAGCGUGGGGAGCAAACAGG
rnacentral:rRNA from 1 species